UACGGAGGGUGCAAACGUUGCUCGGAAUCAUUGGGCGUAAAGCGCACGUAGGCGGUUCGUUAUGUCGGAUGUGAAAGCCCUUGGCUUAACCGAGGAAGUGCAUCCGAAACUGGCGAGCUAGAGUACUAAAGAGGAUCGCGGAAUUCCCGGUGUAGAGGUGAAAUUCGUAGAUAUCGGGAGGAACACCUGUGGCGAAAGCGGCUCACUGGACCAUAACUGACGCUGAGAAGCGAAAGCAUGGGGAGCGAACAGG
rnacentral:rRNA from 1 species